rnacentral:rRNA from 1 species
ACGAACGCUGGCGGCGUGCCUAAUACAUGCAAGUAGAACGCUGAAGAGAGGAGCUUGCUCUUCUUGGAUGAGUUGCGAACGGGUGAGUAACGCGUAGGUAACCUACCUUGUAGCGGGGGAUAACUAUUGGAAACGAUAGCUAAUACCGCAUAACAAUGAAUGACCAAUGUUAUUUAUUUGAAAGGGGCAAUUGCUCCACUACAAGAUGGACCUGCGUUGUAUUAGCUAGUAGGUGAGGUAACGGCUCACCUAGGCGACGAUACAUAGCCGACCUGAGAGGGUGAUCGGCCACACUGGGACUGAGACACGGCCCAGACUCCUACGGGAGGCAGCAGUAGGGAAUCUUCGGCAAUGGGGGCAACCCUGACCGAGCAACGCCGCGUGAGUGAAGAAGGUUUUCGGAUCGUAAAGCUCUGUUGUAAGUCAAGAACGAGUGUGAGAGUGGAAAGUUCACACUGUGACGGUAGCUUACCAGAAAGGGACGGCUAACUACGUGCCAGCAGCCGCGGUAAUACGUAGGUCCCGAGCGUUGUCCGGAUUUAUUGGGCGUAAAGCGAGCGCAGGCGGUUUGAAAAGUCUGAAGUUAAAGGCUGUGGCUCAACCAUAGUUCGCUUUGGAAACUGUCAAACUUGAGUGCAGAAGGGGAGAGUGGAAUUCCAUGUGUAGCGGUGAAAUGCGUAGAUAUAUGGAGGAACACCGGUGGCGAAAGCGGCUCUCUGGUCUGUAACUGACGCUGAGGCUCGAAAGCGUGGGGAGCGAACAGGAUUAGAUACCCUGGUAGUCCACGCCGUAAACGAUGAGUGCUAGGUGUUGGAUCCUUUCCGGG